AAAUGCAUGAAUUGUUGAUAUAGAAAAAUGAGCAUCUUUAUUUAAUCUUUGAUAAGGAAAUCUUGGAUGUUAUGGUAUAUUAGAAAAUUUAAAGAUGCUUAUCUUGUCUUGUUAUGUGAGAAAUUGUUAGAAAAUUUUUUGACAAGAAUGAAGUUGAAAACCUUACAAACUUUGUGGAAGUUAGAUUAUUUAAGGUUUUUCUGAAACUACCUGGUUAUAAACUAUGUUUUUGAAAGGAAAUGUAUACUCGUGAGCUUUAUGUGGUUUUGACACCAUGCCAUGUGUGAUUUCUCGGUGAUCACCCGAUUUGGUCUCCGUAGUCUUUAUGACAAUGGAAUCAAAUCCAGGUCAGUGCCCUUUCACUUUGGAUGACGUGUUCUUCCCUGCUGCCCAUGGGGGGAAGAGGGUCCUUGAUUGUGUGUGAGUGAGGCUGUUGUCCAUGGGGCUAAGAGACCACAUGCAAGAGAGGUCCUAUUUGACGCGCUCUCUC